CCCUUAGAUGUUCUGGGCCGCACGCGCGCUACACUGACGACUUCAACGAGUUUUUUUCAUUUGAAAAAGUCCUUGGCCGGAAGGUCUGGGUAAUCUUUUAAAAGGUCGUCGUGAUGGGGCUAGAUUCUUGCAAUUAUUAAUCUCCAACGAGGAAUUCCUAGUAAACGCAAGUCAUCAACUUGCAUUGAUUACGUCCCUGCCCUUUGUACACACCGCCCGUCGCACCUACCGAUUGAACGUUCCGGUGGGACCUUGGGAUUUGGUCUUUGGUACUUUAUUGUGCCGUUGACCGAAAAACUUGAGCAAACCUUAACGUUUAGAGGAAGGUGAAGUCGUAACA
rnacentral:rRNA from 1 species